GACGAACGCUGGCGGCGUGCCUAACACAUGCAAGUCGAACGGACGAAGGAGAGCUUGCUCUCCCUAGUUAGUGGCGAACGGGUGAGUAACGCGUGAGCAACCUGCCUUUCAGAGGGGGACAACAGUUGGAAACGACUGCUAAUACCGCAUAAGCCCACAGCACCGCAUGGUGCAGCGGGAAAAGGAGCAAUUCGCUUCAGGAUGGCCUCGCGUCCAAUUAGGUAGAUGGUGAGGUAACGGCCCACCAUGCCGACGAUUGGUAGCCGGACUGAGAGGUUGAACGGCCACAUUGGGACUGAGACACGGCCCAG
rnacentral:rRNA from 1 species